AAGGCGGCUCAUUGGCUCGAUACUGACGAUGCGGUAUGAGAGUGUGGGGUGCAAACAGGAUUAGAUACCGUGGUAGUCCACACCGUAAGCGAUGACCGCCCGUCGUCGGGCAGUAUGCUGUUCGCUGACACACUUAACGGAUUGAGCGCUCGGCUUGGAGUGUACGGUCGCAAGAUUGAAACUCACAGGAAUUGACGCGGGUCCGCACAAGCGGUGGAGCAUGUGGUUCAUUUCGAAGUAACGAGCUGAACCGUACCAACCCUUGACAUCGUGUGCUAAUCCGAGAGAUCGGGCCUUCAGUUGGGUGACGCUGUGACGGUUGCUGCAUGGCAGUCGUCAGUUCGUGUCGUGAGAUGUUCGACUCAGUCCUGGCAGCGAGCGCAACCCACAUCGUCAGUUGCCAGCAGUUGGGGUGGGCAAUCUAAGGAAACUGCCCGUGGUAAGCGGGUGGACGGUGUCGAUGAGAUCAAGUCCUCACGGCCGUUACAGGUUGGGGUACACACGGGCGCCAAUGGCAGUGACCAUGGGUUUAUCCCAAAAACCUGUUUCAGUUGGGAUUCGGGUUUGCAAUUGGACGCCAGGAGGUGGGAUUCGUUGGUAUUCGCGUACCGCCAGGACGCGGUGAAUACGUUCCCGGGCCUUGUACACACCGCCCGUCACACCAUGGGAGUUGGUU
rnacentral:rRNA from 1 species